rnacentral:misc_RNA from 1 species
GAUGAAGAACGUAGCGAAAUGCGAUACGUAAUGUGAAUUGCAGAAUUCAGUGAAUCAUCGAGUCUUUGAACGCACAUUGCGCCCCCUGGUAUUCCGAAGGGCAUGCCUGUUCGAGCGUCAUUAUCACCCCUCAAGCCCUCGGCUUGGUGUUGGAAGGUUUGGUGGAGGCCCCCUCGGGGGCUCCUGCCCCUCCCAAAGACAAUGACGGCGGCCUCGUUGGACCCCCGGUACACUGAGUUCUUCACGGGACACGUAUCGGACACAUGGGUUUACGGGACACGGUCUGCCUCCCCUCAGGGAGAAUCUUUCUAAGGUUGACCUCGGAUCAGGUAGGGAUACCCGCUGAACUUAAGCAUAUCAAUAAGCGGAGGA